AAACUGCUGGCUUAGCCGUUGGCCGAGUUGGCGGCUGGACGAGGACGCUCAGAGCCCAGCUCUCGAGAGUUCAAGCAACCGACGGUUCCCCACUGCUCCCAGGAGCGGUUACCUGGGCACUCUGUGCCCCUCCUUCCUGUUCGGGCCCAGGCCGAGGACCUGCCAGUAGGGCUCAGUUGCCUGGAGCCCGUUCAGCCCAUCCCCCAGUUCACUUUGCCUGUGGGAUCUCCCCGUUGCUCCUGCCCGUGCACUGAGUGGCAGGCCAUCCUACAAGUACCCAGACACUUGACAUCAGUGGUGUCAAGACAACUCUAAGAAGGUUUUCGGUGAUCCUGCAAGCGCUGCGUUCCUUCCUGGGAUCCUGCCUUCAAUUUGAUUGCACAGGUACCACAGCAAGCCAGUGCUGUGUGCUCCGAGUUCCAGGGCGUCCUCCAGCUCAGCCACUGCACUGAGAACAUGGACUCUCUGUGGGGCCCAGGAGCCGGGAGUCACCCCUUUGGGGUCCACAACACCCGGCUGUCCCCAGACUUGUGUCCAGGGAAGAUAGUGUUGAGGGCCCUCAAGGAGAGCGGGGCAGGGAUGCCUGAGCAGGACAAGGACCCUAGAGUCCAAGAGAAUCCUGGUGAUCAGAGAAGGGUCCCGGAGGUCACCGGGGAUGCACCGUCUGCAUUUCGGCCCCUGCGGGACAAUGGAGGCCUCUCUCCCUUUGUGCCCGGGCCCGGGCCUCUGCAGACAGACCUCCAUGCCCAGAGGUCAGAAAUCAGAUAUAACCAGACAUCCCAGACCUCCUGGACGAGCUCCUGCACCAACCGAAAUGCCAUCUCCAGCUCCUACAGCUCCACGGGAGGCUUGCCGGGGCUAAAGCGGAGGAGGGGGCCAGCCUCAUCCCACUGCCAGCUGACCCUCAGUUCCUCAAAGACAGUGAGUGAGGACAGGCCUCAGGCUGUCUCUUCAGGUCACACCCAGUGUGAAAAGGCAGCAGAUAUAGCACCAGGGCAGACACUCACCCUCAGGAAUGACUCCUCCACAUCCGAGGCCUCUAGGCCCAGUACACACAAGUUUCCCCUGCUGCCAUGCAGGCGAGGGGAGCCUUUGAUGCUGCCACCUCCCUUAGAGCUGGGGUACCGGGUCACUGUUGAAGACCUUGACCGGGAGAAGGAGGCGGCAUUCCAGCGCAUCAACAGUGCACUGCAAGUUGAGGACAAGGCCAUCUCGGACUGCAGACCCUCACGGCCUUCCCACACUUUGUCCUCACUUGCAACAGGGGCUUCUGGUCUGCCUGCCGUUUCUAAAGCACCCAGUAUGGAUGCACAGCAGGAGACACACAAGUCCCAAGACUGCCUGGGCCUACUGGCCCCCUUAGCAUCUGCUGCAGAGGUCCCCUCUACAGCUCCCAUGUCUGGGAAGAAGCACAGACCACCAGGCCCCCUGUUCUCCUCCUCAGAUCCCCUUCCUGCCACCUCUUCCCAUUCCCAGGACUCAGCCCAGGUCACCUCGCUGAUUCCUGCCCCCUUCCCAGCUGCAAGCAUGGAUGCGGGCAUGAGAAGAACAAGGCGUGGCACUUCUGCUCCUGCAGCUGCCGCAGCAGCCCCUCCCCCCUCCGCAUUGAACCCCACGUUGGGGUCACUACUGGAGUGGAUGGAGGCCCUUCACAUUUCUGGGCCUCAGCCACAGCUGCAGCAGGUGCCCAGAGGUCAGAACCAGAGAUCGCAGACCUCCCGGACCAGCUCGUGCCCCAAAUGAAAUGCCAUCUCGAGCCCCUACAGCUCUACGGGAGGCCUCCCGGAACGAAAGUGGAAGAGGGGCCAGCCUCAUCCCACUGCCAGCUGACCCUCAGUUCCUCAAACACAGACCCAGGGUGCAUGCCCAUCUCCAGCCCAGGGCAGCUCCCCUGUGAGCUGGGUGAGCUACUGAAGCCAAGGUGGGAGGCAGCUGACAACACCACCCACGGCCCAUGCGGAGGUGGCAGAAAGGCUGGACUCAGCAGGAACACCAAAUCCCGGACCAGGCAGAAACCACCCAAGACUGAGGGGCUCGUGCCAGAGCGGUGGCCACAGUUUCAAGGGCUGAAUGGUCGCUGAGACAGAGAUGGAAGCCAGGACAAGGGAGCCCACCGGGCCCAGAUAGAGACUUCAGAACCCACUCCUGAGAACAGCGGAGCCAGGCGCUUAGAGGAAGACCAAAUGCUGCCAGGACACGGAUUGUCCAGGGAUUACAUUCCAGCAUCUUAUUAGAUGGGGUUUGCUGCAUUGCCCAGACUGAUCUCAAACACCUGGGUUCGGUUGUCCUGCCUUGGCCUCCCAAAGUGCUGGGAUUACAGGCAUGAGCCACCACACCUGAACACUUGGGGUGGUUUUAAGCCCCCAGCAAGAUGCACCAGCAGGACCAGGAGGUGGCCUGGGCACCCCCUAUCACUCCCAUCCAUGCAAACCUAGAGGACCGAAGCAGAGGGUGCUGUUUCAACGCCACCACCAGGAGAGAGGCAGAGGGGCUGUGCCAUGCUAGAGUCCUCAGGGAGGGAGUGACCUCGACCCUGGCUGUGCUGCAAGCUGACUCCAGCCUUGGGGUCAGCAGCACCUGGCGAACAGCAGCAGGAGGAGCCGCUAGAGCAGCUGCUCAUGGGCAGAGCAGCCCUUGGGCAACUCCUGCCACCACCCCCUCCCCAGGGAGCCCAAGGCAGGGGAGGCUCAGCAUGGAAUGAAACAGCGGAGUGAGGGACACAAGGAGCCUCCGAGGGCAGCAGUGCACAUGGGGGAGACAUCUCCCACGAGGCCAAGGCCUCCAGUGCUCACCGAUGCCCUCUGUGAAGUUGGGGUAGAACUCGUCAGUGAAAAGGGGCUCGGGCAGCUCACGGAAGUACAGCUUCAGCAUGCCUGCGAUGGCGUUCACGUCCAUCUCGCUCAUCAUCACCGACACGUCCUUGUUAUCUGGAAAGAGCAUGGAAAUGCAGCGGCCUCCUUGAAGAUCCUGAUAAAUGAAGAAAAGACACAGAGAAGGAUGUGACAUGCCUGGGCCAUGGAGCACUCUGAGAUCUCAUCGCGGACACCACUGCCCACACCUCCAUCCCGUCCUGCGCAGGCCGACACUCACUGACGUUGAAGCCUGCCUUCAGUGCCUGGAUGUCCGUGGCCACCCCAGACAUGCGGUAGAUGCCCACCUCCUCCAUGCCUCGGCGCUCGAUCUCCUCCACACACUGGCGCACGAUGUAGGGCACCUUGGACCUCUCUCUCCUGCGGGAGGAGGGAAUGUUCUCAGUGUCCUAACAGCCCUGCUUGGGCCAUAACACAGGAGACCUGCUCCCUAUGUGCACACCCGGAGGUGGGGUGAGGACGGUGACGAAGGUACCCAGGUCUGGGGCUGCACACAGAGCCUUCUGCAUGCCUGUCCUCCCUCUGCAAGCUCUGUCCUCAUGGCAUGUACUUUCUCAGGAACCUUUCAAGCGGCCAGAACCCCUGCGAAUCACACAUGACCUUUGCGGGAAGGUCAGGAGGCCUGUCUAAGUCAAGUCAGCACGGGAAGGGCAUCUGACAGAUUCCAGGCCUGGGGUUAGCAGCCUGUGCCCCCGUCUGGGAGGUCAGACCCGGUGUUGGUCCUGCCACCCACGUGCUGUGUGAGAGGAGAAUCCCUGACCCCUGCCCUGGGCCUGGGCCUUAACACACAUCCGACGAAUGAAUGAAGGGUUGCCUCAGCACCGGUGCUCCAAGUCCUGCGAUGCUAAGUGCUUUUCUCCUCUGAGUCUUAGCAAUGGACAAUUCCAAUACCUCCACACAGGACACUAGAGUAAGAAUCCUUCACAGUUAGAACGCAGUGCUGUGCGGAGGCCUUAACUUGAGUUCUGUUUUGCACCUGGAUUUACCAGCACAUCAAAGCUGCUUCGCAAGCCCCCUCAUUAGCAGGGCUUAUCUGGGGGAGCUGCUGAUGGAGUCCUCGCUGCUCAUGCCCACAGCCCUCCCAGAGUGCUAUGCGAGUGGGGGUGGGGCGUGGUGUUUAGACAC